rnacentral:rRNA from 1 species
AGAACUUUCCAGAGAUGGAUUGGUGCCUUCGGGAACUCUGAGACAGGUGCUGCAUGGCUGUCGUCAGCUCGUGUUGUGAAAUGUUGGGUUAAGUCCCGCAACGAGCGCAACCCUUAUCCUUUGUUGCCAGCGGUCCGGCCGGGAACUCAAAGGAGACUGCCAGUGAUAAACUGGAGGAAGGUGGGGAUGACGUCAAGUCAUCAUGGCCCUUACGAGUAGGGCUACACACGUGCUACAAUGGCGCAUACAAAGAGAAGCGACCUCGCGAGAGCAAGCGGACCUCAUAAAGUGCGUCGUAGUCCGGAUUGGAGUCUGCAACUCGACUCCAUGAAGUCGGAAUCGCUAGUAAUCGUAGAUCAGAAUGCUACGGUGAAUACGUUCCCGGGCCUUGUACACACCGCCCGUCACACCAUGGGAGUGGGUUGCAAAAGAAGUAGGUAGCUUAACCUUCGGGAGGGCGCUUACCACUUUGUGAUUCAUGACUGGGGUGAAGUCGUAACAAGGUAAGCGUAGUGCU